GAUGAACGCUGGCGGCGUGCCUAAUACAUGCAAGUCGAGCGAACGGACGAGAAGCUUGCUUUUCUGAUGUUAGCGGCGGACGGGUGAGUAACACGUGGAUAACCUACCUAUAAGACUGGGAUAACUUCGGGAAACCGGAGCUAAUACCGGAUAAUAUUUUGAACCGCAUGGUUCAAAAGUGAAAGACGGUCUUGCUGUCACUUAUAGAUGGAUCCGCGCUGCAUAAGCUAGUUGGUAAGGUAACGGCUUACCAAGGCCACGAUGCAUAGCCGACCUGAGAGGGUGAUCGGCCACACUGGAACUGAGACACGGUCCAGACUCCUACGGGAGGCAGCAGUAGGGAAUCUUCCGCAAUGGGCGAAAGCCUGACGGAGCAACGCCGCGUGAGUGAUGAAGGUCUUCGGAUCGUAAAACUCUGUUAUUAGGGAAGAACAUAUGUGUAAGUAACUGUGCACAUCUUGACGGUACCUAAUCAGAAAGCCACGGCUAACUACGUG
rnacentral:rRNA from 1 species